UUAAGCAAAUCGAAAAUUCGUAUCAGUUCGCAGUUUGACAUUUGAACUGAUUAAACACUUAAAAAAACGAAGAAGAAGCAAAUUAAAAGCACAUGUCAAAGGCCGUAAUUAAUCGAGUUCAUUGCCUGGCCAGCACAGAAAGCUUGUCAGGCAAAAUGUAAAAAGUAAAAAAAAAAAAAAGAAUACAAAAACAACAACGACAAGAUCAAAAGGUUCAGUGCCGGCUGCGAUUUAUGCAACUGAGCAGGGAGGGGGCGUGUGAAAGAAAACACUGAAAAAAGAGUGGAAGAAGAAGAGCAGCAAAGACUAGGUAACUGGUAACUGACACCCUAUCAAACAAGACCACCCACCCACCCAUCUACUCGUGUGCCUCUACCUCUAUCUGCAGCCACAACCACCGCCCUGUGCGACUGUCACUCAUGCAAAUGACAGACAUUUGUCACGUUGCUUUGUACGUGAAAUUGUAAAAUGUUAAUGUGCCAGACGAGCGGCAACUUAUUCUUUUUCCGCUGGGGUCGCUUUAAGUGCGCUGCUAUGUGAAGAGAAGAGAGCAAAAGAGAUGGAGGAAAUAUAUUCGGGAGCAAACGGGAGUGAGCGAAUAUGUCCAUGUGUGUUUGUGGGUGUGUAUGUAUGUGCCUAUAACUUCUGCUUACACUUAGCAUAUGGAUGCAUCUGUGUGUGUGGGUGUUUGCAAAACGCGCAAUUACGAUUAAUUGCAUUUGAUAAAAUGCCAUUAAAAAAUGUAAAGCCGAAAAUUGUAACGUGUUGUCUUCUAGAAAAUCCUCAAGUCAAGUUUGA